rnacentral:rRNA from 1 species
GUCCACGCCGUAAACGAUGUCAACUAGUUGUUGGGUUCCUUGAGGACUUAGUAACGCAGCUAACGCAUUAAGUUGACCGCCUGGGGAGUACGGCCGCAAGGUUAAACUCAAAUGAAUUGACGGGGCCCGCACAAGCGGUGGAGCAUGUGGUUUAAUUCGAAGCAACGCGAAGAACCUUACCUGGCCUUGACAUGCUGAGAACUUUCUAGAGAUAGAUUGGUGCCUUCGGGAACUCAGACACAGGUGCUGCAUGGCUGUCGU